UACGUAGGUGGCGAGCGUUGUCCGGAAUUAUUGGGCGUAAAGGGCGCGCAGGUGGUUUUUUAAGUCAGAUGUGAAAACUCCGGGCUUAACUCGGAGAUUGCAUUUGAAACUGGAAGACUUGAGGACAGGAGAGGAAAGUGGAAUUCCCAGUGUAGCGGUGAAAUGCGUAGAGAUUGGGAGGAACACCAGUGGCGAAGGCGACUUUCUGGACUGACCCUGACACUGAGGCGCGAAAGCUAGGGGAG
rnacentral:rRNA from 1 species